rnacentral:tRNA from 1 species
GCUCCGAUAGUCUAGUCCGGUCAAGGAUAUCGGCCUUUCGAGCCGAGGACCCGGGUUCGAAUCCCGGUCGGAGCA